AAUAAGGUAGAUUUUUCAGUUGCAUAUUCAGUCCACUGUUUGUUAGGAUUUUUUAUGCAUCUGGAAAUGGGAUGCUUUCUUUUAAAGGGACAACUGAAAACAGCCCUGUCUGAGAGCACCCAAAGAAAACCUAAAAGACUUUAUUGUUCAACAGUUAAGAGGCAACGGGUUGGGAUAGCAGAAUGUGGGCUGAGAUAGGGUGAGCUCAUGAGCGUAACAGGGGCAGUGCCAGGCCCCACUUAUCACAAACGCCAUGCCAUUGGCCCUUUCUGCUGAUAAUAGGCAGUGCACAUUUUCUCCUAGACAUAGCUGACAACACAGCCACUAAUGGCAGAAGCGCAGUCCCUACUGGAAAAGAUGAGCUUGCUGCUGAUCCUCCUUGCCUCCUUCGGCUGCCUUGGGAAAGCCGCUGGGAGACUGCAAAUACAGACUGACCGUUUAGUGAAAGCUGCUGUUGGGGAUGACACCUUAUUGAAGUGCACUUUUACUGUGGACGAGGCUGCGGUGGACCUCAGUCGUCUUUCGAUCCUGUGGUUUCAUGCGGGCAAGCAAGUGGCAGAGUUUGACAAAGAGGUGACCGUGUUCAGAGAAGGUGUCAGCCUGAGCCAGGAGGAGCUGGCAAAUGGAAAUGCUUCCCUACUUAUCUCUCCGGUUGGCACUGAAAACGCAGGGAACUACAGAUGUUACAUCACAUAUUUGCCAGAAAUAAGCAUGCAGGAAGUGACUUUGCAAGUUGUAGGCUCCCAGGCUAAGGAAGACUCAGAAGAUCUCCUUCUAUCCCCACAAUGUUUUCGCCAUUCAGAGAUCCUGAGCAAGCUGGAUCAGAUUGCAAAGACUUUGGAAAAAAUGGAGGCAAAGCUUCAUGAGUCCAGCAGCGGCAAGGCCUCGCCGACAUGUGGUUCUGAGGCUGCUUCUGAAGAACCCACACGCUAACUCCAUUUCUGUAUCAUUGUCCAUUUUAAAUUGGCUUCAAACUUAUUGAGCUGAAAAGAACUAUGGGAAAUUUGAGUUCUGUGAUGAGGUGAGAUGUGAGGCCGGUAGCCAACAUUUAUUCUAGUAAUUUAGGAGUUUCCAGGAUUCAGAGAGGGGAGAACUAUGCUCAUUAAGCAAAUUUUGGAGUGCAAUAAAUUGAAUUAAUAAUGUGUUCCUGU
rnacentral:lncRNA from 1 species